UUUGGCGACCCAAAGGCAAGAAUCUUUGGUAAAGGACAACCAUAAGAUAUAAAUGCAGGAGGCUAAGAGAAAUCUGUUUGGUGAAAAAUGAGUAAACGGACACCUAGAGGGUUUGAAUAAUUUCCCCGAAAGACAUCAGGAUUUGAUUCCAGGUCUGUAACCUUGGAAGUUUUGAACUUAGCUCAUGGAAUCCUAGUACCUGGCACUGAGCACAUGUUGUACAGCCUCCACAUGUGACCAGAUAGGGAGCUGAGAGUGCAAGGGUCUUGUCCAUCAGAAAUACAGAUGGCAACAGGCACAUGCAAAUGUGCUCAACAUCACCAAUCAUCAGGACAUGCAAAUCAAACCCACAGUGAGAUACCACUUCACACCCCUCAGGAUGGCUAUCGUCAAAAAGACAAGAAACAACGCGUGUUGGCAGUGAAAUGGAGAAAGGGGACUCUCCGGCACAGUUGGUGGGAAUGACCCUCUGAGGGGCGGGACAGGAAGACUGAAUGGAUACCCCUUGGUGCAGCCAUCACCACAUGGUCCAUGUCCUGCCUCUCCUUCGCGGGCCCUCUUGUCAACAGAACCCUGAUGGAUCAUCCUGAACGAGCAGUGAUGGUGGCCAAGGCACAGCCAGGCCCUCUUAUUGUAUUAACAAUACAGGAAGAUGAUGCGGUCACCAAACAGCCACAGGGAACAGACACACAGGGGCCCAGAGUUCUCACUACUACCAACUCAAGUCCACCAACCUUUCUGAUUUCCAUGCUGCAGAAAGCAUUCUGCAGGACAUAAACCUUCCAGCCUCGGUGAAUCAUCGCUGGGUGUGAAAGGAAGCAGGCAGGCAAAGAGUAACACACGCAGCUGAAAGGAAACUCAGAGGAGAGAAUCACCGAGGGAAUUGGCCAUGGACCUGAUCCCAAGCUUUUCCGUGGAAACCUGGGUUCUUCUGGUUACCAGCCUGGUACUCCUCUAUCUAGUUAGUUGUGGCGGCCUAGCAACUUCAUCACCAAAACCAUUGCCAGCAACCUCUUCCCCGCAACCUCUCUUUUCCUCCACUCUGUCAAUUCUCAGGAACACCAGACUGAGAAGACCUGCAAGAUUUCCAGCCCCCCAGUUGUGGGAUUCCACACAGAACAGAUAUGGGACUUAUUCACAUGGACUUUUUAAGAAGCUGGGGAUUCCUGGGCCAAGACCUCUGCCUUAUUUUGGAAAUAUUCUGUCCUACCGAAAGGGUAUUUGGGAUUUUGACAAUAAAUGUUUUAAAAAGUAUGGAAAAAUGUGGGGGUGUUAUGAAGGUCAUUGGCCUCUCUUGGUUAUCACAGAUCCAGACAUAAUCAAAACAGUGCUAGUGAAAGAGUGUUAUUCUGUCUUCACAAACCGGAGGUCCUUUGGUCCAGUGGGAAUUUUGAAAAAUGCCAUCUCUCUGUCUGAGGAUGAACAAUGGAAGAAAAUACGAACGUUGCUGUCUCCAGCCUUCACCAGCGGAAAACUCAAGGAGAUGUUCCCCAUCAUUAGCCAGAUUGGAGAUGUGUUGGUGAGGAACCUGAAGAAGGAAGCAGAGAAAGGCAAGCCCAUCAACAUGAAAGACUUCUUUGGGGCCUACAGCAUGGAUGUGAUUACUGGCACAGCAUUUGGAGUGAACAUUGAUUCCCUCAACAACCCACAAGAUCCCUUUGUGGAAAAUAGCAAGAAGAUCUUAAAAUUUAAUCUCCUCUCUGCAUUAGCUUUCUCAAUAAUAUUGUUUCCAUUCCUCACCCCAAUCUUUGAAGUAUUAAAUAUUACUCUGAUUCCAAGAAGUUCUGUGAAUUUUUUAGCAAAGUCUGUAAAAAGGAUGAAAGAGAGUCGCCUCAAAGAUAAACAAACGCACCGAGUGGAUCUUCUUCAGCUGAUGAUUAACUCUCAGAAUUCCAAAGAUGUGGACACCCAUAAAGUUCUGUCUGACAUAGAACUCAUGGCCCAAAGUAUUAUCUUCAUUUUUGCUGGCUACGAGACCACUAGCAGUUCUCUUUCCUUCAUUGUAUAUGAAUUGGCCACUCACCCUGAUGUCCAGCAAAAGCUGCAGGAGGAGAUUGAUGCAACUUUCCCCAAUAAGGCGCCUCCCACCUGUGAGGCUCUGGUACGGAUGGAGUACCUUGACAUGGUGUUGAGUGAAACUCUCAGAGUAUUCCCAAUUGCUGGAAGACUUGAGAGGGUCUGUAAGAAGGAUGUGGUAGUCAAUGGGGUGUUCAUUCCCAAAGGGACAACAGUGGUGGUGCCACUCUUCGUUCUUCACAACGACCCAGAGCUCUGGCCAGAGCCUGAGGAGUUCCGUCCUGAAAGGUUCAGUAAGAAGAACAAGGAGAGCAUAAAUCCUUACACAUACCUGCCCUUUGGAACUGGACCCCGAAACUGCAUUGGCAUGAGAUUUGUUAUGAUGAGCAUGAAACUUGCUCUCGUCAGAAUCCUGCAGAACUUCUCCUUCAAACCUUGUAAAGAAACACAGAUCCCCCUGAAAUUGUCCACUCGAGGACUUACGCAACUGCAAAAACCUAUUGUUCUAAAGGUUGUGUCGAGAGAUGCGACCAUCAGUGGAGCCUGACCUUCUCGAAGGACGUGGGCUUUGGUCUUCAAGGAAGCCGUAUCCGAGAACACCUGAGACGUUACUUACUUUGUGAUAAAACCAUUAAAUGAAGAUGGGCUUCACCUGCUUCCCCUGAUGGAUGACUAGGUAUUCUGCCCAAUCAUUUAGCUUUCUCACUGUCUAUGUGGAGUGUUAUAUAUUGCAUCGUAUAAAGGAGGUGACAAGUAAGUGCCGGAUACUCAGCUUCACGGGUUCUCCUAGGACCAUCUCCAUCCACCUCCACUUAGGACCAUCUACUCCUCCUGAGCACUGAUCAGAAUGAAAAUUUCUCAACAAACUCUAAUGAAACUGAUCAACAAUGUUGUGCGGGCUUCCCUGGUGACGCAGUGGUUAAGAAUACGUCUGCCGAUGCAGGGGACACGGGUUCGAGCCCUGGUCCGGGAAGAUCCCACAUGCCGCGGGGCAACUAAGCCUGUGCGCCACAACUACUGAGCCUGCGCUCUAGAGCCCGCGAGCCACAACUACUGAGCCAGCGCACCUAGACCCCGUGCUCUGCAACAAGAGAAGCCACCACCAUGAGAAGCCCACGCAUGGCAACAAAGAGUAGCCCCGCUCGCUGCAACUAGAGGACGCCCACGCAGCGACAAAGACCCAACGCAGCCAAAACUGAAAAAUAAUUAAGUAAAUAAAUUUAUAAAAACAAAACAAUGUUGUGAUAGUUUCAGGUGCACAGCAAAGGGACUCAGCCAUAUAUCCAUUCUCCCCCAAACUCCCCUCCCAUCCAGGCUGCCACAUAACAUUGAGCAGAGUUCCCUGUGCUAUACAGUAGGUCCUUGUUUGUUAUCCAUUUUAAACAUAGCAGUGUGUACAUGUCAAUCCCAAACUCCUGACUAUCCCCCC